AUGUACAUUCCUACAACAUAACGCUAAUGCAUCGAAUCUCAUUAGAACUCCACAGUUAAGCGCAUUGGGGAUAGCAUAGUACUGGGAUGGGUGACCGUCCAGGAAGUCCUAGUGUUUUACAUG
rnacentral:rRNA from 1 species